rnacentral:rRNA from 1 species
AUUGAACGCUGGCGGCAGGCCUAACACAUGCAAGUCGAACGAGUGGCGGACGGGUGAGUAAUGUCUGGGAAACUGCCCGAUGGAGGGGGAUAACUACUGGAAACGGUAGCUAAUACCGCAUACCAUAGGAUGUGCCCAGAUGGGAUUAGCUAGUAGGUGGGGUAAAGGCUCACCUAGGCGACGAUCCCUAGCUGGUCUGAGAGGAUGACCAGCCACACUGGAAUGGUGCACCGGUCAAGACCCCUCCGGGAGGAAGAAGGGGGGAAAAUUGCAAAAGGGCGGAAAGCUGGAUGAAGAAAGGCCGCUGUGAGGAAGAAGGCCUUGGGGUUGAAAAGUAUUUUGAGCGAGGAGGCGUUACUCGAAGAAGAAGCACCGGCUAACUCCGUGCCAGCCGCCGCGGUAAUAC